rnacentral:rRNA from 1 species
UACGGGGGGAGCAAGCGUUGUUCGGAUUUACUGGGCGUAAAGGGCGCGUAGGCGGCGUAACAAGUCACUUGUGAAAUCUCCGGGCUUAACCCGGAGCGGCCAAGUGAUACUGUUGUGCUAGAGUGCGGAAGGGGCUACUGGAAUUCUCGGUGUAGCGGUGAAAUGCGUAGAUAUCUGGAGGAACACCGGUGGCGAAGGCGGCAUCCUGGACCGAUAUUGACGCUGAGGCGCGAAAGCCAGGGGAGCAAACGGG